rnacentral:tRNA from 1 species
GGGCACGUAGCUCAGUGCGUAGAGCGAUGGCCUGUGGAGCCAUAUGUCGCGGGUUCGAUUCCCGUCGUGCCCA